GACGAACGCUGGCGGCGUGCUUAACACAUGCAAGUCGAACGAUGAAGCCCAGCUUGCUGGGUGGAUUAGUGGCGAACGGGUGAGUAACACGUGAGUAACCUGCCCUUGACUCUGGGAUAAGCGUUGGAAACGACGUCUAAUACCGGAUACGAGCUUCCACCGCAUGGUGAGUUGCUGGAAAGAAUUUUGGUCAAGGAUGGACUCGCGGCCUAUCAGCUUGUUGGUGAGGUAAUGGCUCAC
rnacentral:rRNA from 1 species